rnacentral:rRNA from 1 species
AACAAACGCUGGCGGCGUGCCUAAUACAUGCAAGUCGAACGGGGAAAGCUUUCGGGUGAGUACUAGUGGCGCACGGGUGAGUAACGCGUGGAUAAUCUGCCUUGAAGAGGGGGAUAACCAGCCGAAAGAUUGGCUAAUACCGCAUAAGACCACAGGGACUGAGGUUCUAGGGGUCAAAGGUUUUUCGCUUCAAGAUGAGUCCGCGUAAGAUUAGCUAGUUGGUAGGGUAAUGGCCUACCAAGGCAACGAUCUUUAACUGGUCUGAGAGGAUGAUCAGUCACACUGGAACUGAGACACGGUCCAGACUCCUACGGGAGGCAGCAGUAGGGAGUAUUGCACAAUGGAGGAAACUCUGAUGCAGCGACGCCGCGUGAGUGAUGAAGGCCUUCGGGUCGUAAAGCUCUGUCGCAGGGGAAUAAGACAGUGAAUGUACCCUGUAAGAAAGGAUCGGCUAACUUCGUG